UACGUAGGGUGCAAGCGUUGUCCGGAAUUAUUGGGCGUAAAGAGCUCGUAGGCGGUCUGUCGCGUCGGCUGUGAAAACUCGGGGCUCAACUCCGAGCUUGCAGUCGAUACGGGCAGGCUAGAGUUCGGUCGGGGAGACUGGAAUUCCUGGUGUAGCGGUGAAAUGCGCAGAUAUCAGGAGGAACACCGGUGGCGAAGGCGGGUCUCUGGGCCGAUACUGACGCUGAGGAGCGAAAGCGUGGGGAGCGAACAGG
rnacentral:rRNA from 1 species